rnacentral:rRNA from 1 species
AUUGAACGCUGGCGGCAGGCCUAACACAUGCAAGUCGAACGGUAACAGGAAACAGCUUGCUGUUUCGCUGACGAGUGGCGGACGGGUGAGUAAUGUCUGGGAAACUGCCUGAUGGAGGGGGAUAACUACUGGAAACGGUAGCUAAUACCGCAUAACGUCGCAAGACCACAGAGGGGGACCUUCGGGCCUCUUGCCAUCGGAUGUGCCCAGAUGGGAUUAGCUAGUAGGUGGGGUAACGGCUCACCUAGGCGACGAUCCCUAGCUGGUCUGAGAGGAUGACCAGCCACACUGGAACUGAGACACGGUCCAGACUCCUACGGGAGGCAGCAGUGGGGAAUAUUGCACAAUGGGCGCAAGCCUGAUGCAGCCAUGCCGCGUGUGUGAAGAAGGCCUUCGGGUUGUAAAGCACUUUCAGCGGGGAGGAAGGCGGUGAGGUUAAUAACCUCAUCGAUUGACGUUACCCGCAGAAGAAGCACCGGCUAACUCCGUGCCAGCCGCCGCCGUAA